rnacentral:rRNA from 1 species
CCUGGUUGAUCCUGCCAGUACUAUAUGCUUGUCUCAAAGCCUAAGCCAUGCAAAUCUAAGAUCAAUCAUAUGCGGUUUCGGCCGUGUAUAAUGAUAGUCUGUGGAAGGCUCAUUAUAACAGUUAUACUCCUAGCCACUGGAAAGUUUACAAGGAUACCACCGUUAACUGCAGCGAUAAUACUUGUUCCCUUCGGGGUGGUAAUAGUAUUUGUGCUGAAGCCUAGCUAUUGUAACCUAGUUUUUCGGGUGUGGCAACAUAUUCGGGGGAUUAGGAAUCGACCGCUAGCAGGUGCCUUCGGGCGCGGGAAAGUGAAUUAACAAGGUUUUCAUAAGGCCUUUCAGGUUUGCUUUUUCUAGUGGCCAGGCAGAGGAGCUUCUUACCUAUCAGCUCGUUGUUUGUUUAAAGGACAAACCAGGCUUUGACGGGUACGGGGAAUCAGUGUUCGAUUCCGGAGAGGGAGCCUGAGAAAUCGCUACCACAUCUAAGGACGGCAGCAGGCGCGCAAAUUACCCAAUCUCAAUACGAGGAGGUAGUGACAAGCUAUAGUGACUCCACACCAUUCGGUGGGGAGGUAUUGUCUUUUGACGAUUUUCCAUGAUUUGGGCGUAGAUAACCCUUAGAGUAGCCAUUGGAGGAAAAGUCUGGUGCCAGCACCCGCGGUAAUUCCAGCUCCAAGAGCGUAUAUUAAUACUGCUGUAGUUAAAACGCCCGUAGUAUACCUAAGAGUGGGCAUGUAGUAAUUAGUUUUGUCAGAGGAUGAUUGACGAGAGUUUAUCACUCUUGUUCGUCUACCUUUGAUAGACUUUAGUCGGGCUGGAUCUUCGGUCCACGUCUGACAGUUGCUGCGUGUUUACUUACCACGGUUUAUCCGUGAGGCCCUUGGCUUGCAACUGUAAAUAAAUCGUUGUGCUUAAAGCGGGCUAUGAUACUCUGCCAGAGCGAUUUAGCAUGGGACUGCAGAGUAGCUGUAUUUGAGUGAAGGUUGUAUUUCGGUAUGACUGGAUCUUGGUACAGCGCUUGUAAUGGAGCUCAGGGUGAGGCCCCGGGUACCAUGAGGCUAGAGGUGAAAUUCUGAGACCCUCAUGUGACCAACUAAGGCGAAAGCUGUCGUGGGCCACCACAAGCUCGUCUAUCAGGGACGAAAGUUGGGGGAUCGAAGACGAUUAGAUACCGUCGUAGUCCCAACUAUAAACGAUACCAACCGAGUAUUUGGGAAGACACUAUCCCAGCGAUCUUCUCAGAACUCAAGGGAAACCUUAAGUCUUUGGGUUCUGGGGGGAGUAUAGUCGCAAGACCGAAACUUAAAGGAAUUGACGGAAAGGCACCACCAGGAGUGGAGUCUGCGGCUUAAUUCGACCCAACACGGGGAAACUCACCAGGUCAGGACACAAGUUUGAUUGACAGGUUAAUAGCCCUUUCUUGAUUGUGUGGUGGGUAGUGCAUGGCCGUUUCCAGUUCGUGGAGUGAUCUGUCUUGUUAAUUCAGAUAACGAACGAGACCUAAGCCUUUAACUAGCCGUAGGCCUUUUCCUUCGGGGAAAGGUUUAGUUUGUCGGGACAGGU